GAUCAAGCCACCAAAGGGCACACGGCGGAUGACUUGGCGUCGAGAGGCGAUGAAGGACGUGGAAACCUGCGAUAAGCCCAGAGGAGUUGGUAAUCGAGCUGUGAUUCUGGGAUCUCCGAAUGGGGCAACCCAUCCCGACUUGUCGGGAUAUCGCGCGCUGAAUGCAUAGGCGUGCGAGGCAAACCCGGGGAACUGAAACAUCUAAGUACCCGGAGGAAAGGAAAGCAACAGCGACUCCGUGAGUAGCGGCGAGCGAAAGCGGAUCAGCCGACAGACCGAAUGAACGCGUUGGAAUGCGCGGCCUGAGAAGGUGAAAGCCCUGUAACCGGAAGUCGGUCAGCCCUAGAGUAGAUUCGGGCUCGUGAAACCCGGAUUGAACAUGGGGGGUCCACCCUCCAAGGCUAAGUACUCCUCGACGACCGAUAGCGAACCAGUAAAGUGAUUGAAGGUUGACAAGCACCGCGAUGAGCGGAGUGAAAGAGUACCUGAAACCGUGUGCCUACAAGCGGUCGGAGUCCCGACAUGUCGGGAUGACGGCGUGCUUUUUGCAUAAUGAGCCCGCGAGUUAGUCUCUGCGGCGAGCCUAAGGCCUAACGGGCCGGAGGCGGAGCGAAAGCGAGUCUGAACAGGGCGUUCAGUCGCAGGGGCUAGACGCGAAACCCGUGUGAUCUACCCAUGGCCAGGUUGAAGGGGGGGUAAGACCCUCUGGAGGACCGAACACGUUAACGUUGAAAAGUUAUGUGAUGAGCUGUGGGGAGGAGUAAAAGUCUAAUCAAACCGGGAGAUAGCUCGUUCUCUCCGAAAUAACUUUAGGGUUAGCCUCAGGGUGCAACGAUCGGGGGUAGAGCUACUGGAUGAGUGGUGGGGGCUACCCGCCUACCCCAUUCAACCAAACUCCGAAUACCGAUCGCCAAGUCCUGGGAGAUAGCCCACGAGUGACAAUAUCCGUGGACAAAAGGAGAAGAAUCCAGAUCGCCGGCUAAGGCCCCAGAUCUGUGCUCAGUUCGAAAGGAAGUCAGACUGCCGUGACAGCCAGGAUGUUGGCUUAGAAGCAGCCACCAUUUAAAGAGUGCGUAACAGCUCACUGGUCGAGGAGUUUGGCGCCGAUAAUGAUCGGGAAUAAGCAUAGAGCCGAAGCCGCGGGCCCCGACUUGUUCGGGGCGGUAGGAGAGCGUUCCUGUCGGCGGUGAAGCGAUCCCGGAAGGGUUCGUGGAGCGUCAGGAAGCGAAGAUGCGGGCUUGAGUAACGAUAAACAGGGUGAGAAUCCCUGUCGCCGAAAACCCAAGGUUUCCUGGGGCAGGUAAAUCCGCCCAGGGUUAGUCGGGACCUAAGGCGAGGCCGAAAGGCGUAGUCGAUGGACAGCUGGCUAAUAUUCCAGCACCCUCGCCGCGAUCAAACCACAGUGCGGAUUCCCCCGCUCGACUGGGCGACCAGUUGUGCCCAGGCCUUCAAGGCCGUUGUCGGGGUCGGGAGUUCCUAGAAAAGCUGUGGGGGCAACGCGAGGCCCGUACCAAAACUGACACAGGUGGGUGAGGCGAAUAGCCUCAGGCGCUCGAGAGAACGGUCGUGAAGGAACUAGGCAAAUUAACCCCGUACGUUCGCAAUAAGGGGGCCCUACUCGCAAGAGAGGGCGCAGAGAAAAGGCUCUGGCAACUGUUUAUCAAAAACACAGCACUGUGCCAACUCGUAAGAGGAUGUAUACAGUGUGACGCUUGCCCAAUGCCGGAAUGUCACGGAAGCGGGUUAGCUUCGGCGAAGCUCGUGACCUAAGCACCGGUCAAUGGCGGCCGUAACUAUGACGGUCCUAAGGUAGCGAAGUUCCUUGUCGGGUAAGUUCCGACGCGCAUGAAUAGCGUAAUGACUGGAGCACUGUCUCCACGACCGACUCGGUGAAAUAGUAGU
rnacentral:rRNA from 1 species